CCUUAGAGAUCCAAUAAUGGAAAAAGAGUGGUUAAAAGGAACUAAUGGACAGACUGUGUGUCUGACUUCAAAUUACAUAAUUGUAGGACCAGAGGGAGCAGCGUUACAAAUUGAACACUGUGAAUUCACUAAUACUUGGUUUAGAGUAGAUGAUUCAGUCCCACUUGAAGAUUGGCCAGCAGAGGUUCCAAAUCCGCAUACGCUAUUGACGAAUGUUCCACCUGCUGCUAAUUAUUUCACUGUGAUUGAUCUCUGUUCUGCAUUUUUCAGCGUUCCAUUAGCAGAAGAAAGCAGACACCUUUUUUCCUUCACUUACCAAGGUAAACAAUAUACAUACACUAGAAUGCCUCAAGGAUUUAAACACUAUUUACACUCAUCAUAAGACUGCUGAAUUAUUAGAACAAGGACGAUUUGUUUUAACACAGGCCAGAUGCUUAGCAUAUUCUACAUUGACAACUUAUCCUGAUAUCACGAUGAAGCGUUGUACCACAGUUAAUCCAGCUAAUUUUGUCCCGCUGGAGGGGGAAGGAACACCUCAUGAGUGUGUUUCUGUCUCUCUAGCAUUUACUCGUCUGAGACCAGAUUUGGAAUCAACACCAAUUGUUGAUGCAGACGUAGAUUAUUUCGUUGAUGGCUCAUGUUUUAGAGACCACUUAGGUAACCAUGCUGGUUUUGCUGUUGUACAAAAAGAUGGAGAUAAUUUUACUCCCGUGAUAAGUCAACAUUGUGAGCAACCUUGCUCAGCACAAUUGGCUGAACUUAAAUCACUUAAUGAAGCUUGCAUAUUGGCUAAAAACAAAGCAGCCAACAUUUAUACUGACUCUGCAUAUGCCCAUGGCGUAUGUCAUUUAUUCGGUGCAGUGUGGAAGAAAAAAGAGGAUUUAAAAAGAGUGAUGGAACCCCAAUUCAACAUGGAGACCAAAUUACUAAAUUGAUUACAGCUUUGAUGUUUCCUACAAAAUUGACCAUAAUUAAAUGCCAGGCCCAUAAGAAAGGUAAUGACUUUGUCAUCAAAGGCAACAAUGUGGCUGAUAUGCAUGCGAAACAAGCCUCUGGAUGCCAAUUAGCGGUAAUGGCACCCUAAGUCCUGAUUCAGCCUCUCCCCACUGUAGAAAGUAUUGCCCAAAUGCAGUCCAGAGCAACACCACCUGAGAUAUAUUUAUGGCAGCAAAGGGGGGCGACAAGAGAUUCAGACAAUAUAUGAAGAUCACAUGAAGGCCACAUGAUAGCCCCCACCCCAUCGCUUAACAUUUUAAUUCCGGAUUCCCACAGUUUUGAUCACUGUGGAAGGGGGGAAAUGAUAAGGAAGAUAAAAA